UAUAAAUAAUGUUUGAUGAUGUUCUUCUAAAGCUCCAUAAAAACCAAACAAAAGUUCUCAAAAGAACCCUAUGCAACACUCAUGCCUCUCAUUUCAAAUCACAAAUCCUAAUCUCUGAGCUUGAUCAUACUGAUCUUUCUCGAAAGACGCUGAUCUUAAAUGUCAAAGAAACCAUUUUAAGAUCAUCAUUUGUGUUUCCUGUUAUGGACUAAUACCAUUGCAAGGUAUGAGAUUUGUCCCACAUCGGUUGUAUGGGCAACUGAUGUGUGGUUUAUAUACCAAAUGAGCUCUCACCUACCAGACUAGUCUUUUAGGUUGAGUUCUUUCGUUUGGUAUGUAACAUUGGUAUCAGAGCCAUAACUCGGAGUGGUGGCCUUGGAGUGAGCCAGCCGUAACUAACGUAGUCGUGACCAACAAGGUCAGAGUGGUGGUCUGGAAAGAGCCAGUCGUGACCAACGAGGACGUUGGACCUUAAGAAGGGUCGAUUGUUAUGGACUAAUACUUGUCCCGCAUCGGUGACCAACGAGGACGUUGAACCUUAAGAAGGGUCGAUUGUUAUGGACUAAUACUUGUCCCGCAUCGGUUGUAUGGGCAACUGAUGUGGGGUUUGUGCUCCGCAUUUUCGGUCGCAAUUCAGUCAGAAGAGUAUUUGAGACAAAUUUGCGACUCAAAAUGAGGUUUAUGGGUUACCAAUGAAGAAAAGAAGGCAUGGCAAAUUCUUCCAAGAGAAAGAUAACCAAAAGAUCUAAUUUUCCAUGAUGGAAGACUAGCCUUCAGACCCAAACCAUUAAGUAUGUUGGUUAUGUUUAUGUGGUUUCCUUUCGCAAUACUUUUGUCCAUUUUUUCGAGCAAUUGUUGCACUUACCCUUGCUAAUGGAGCAUUGAUCACAAACACUAACUCAAAUCCAGACGCGGCAUUUCAUAAUCAUAAACAACAUAAAGUUCGUUUAUAUGUAUGCAACCAUAGAACUUUACUUGCAUUAUACCUCUCAUUUAAACUCAAGAAACGAUUCGCCGCAGUCGCAUACAGUCAUAGUAGAAUGUCGGAGAACUUAUCACCUCGUCGAGCCUUACGAGGAAAGACAAGUAUAUCAUAUUGGCUGGUAGUGAAGGGUUCGUUAUUUCCACCGGCAACAAACGAUGAUCCACGAGUUCAAAUUUUAUGAUCUUUGAGCAUGUUUCCUGGAUUAUAAUUGAAACACAAGCCAAUUAUUUGGAUUGAAAUUUUGAUUCUUGUACUAUAAACUAUAAAAAAGUGUUUUUAUAUUC